GAUGAACGCUAGCGGCAGGCUUAACACAUGCAAGUCGAGGGGCAGCACGAUGUAGCAAUACAUUGGUGGCGACCGGCGCACGGGUGCGUAACACGUAUGGAACUUACCCUUUACUGGGAGAUAGCCCGGGGAAAUCCGGAUUAAUAUCCCAUAAUAAACGAAGUGGCAUCACUUUGUUUUGAAAGCUCCGGCGGUAAAGGAUGGCCAUGCGCACGAUUAGCUAGUAGGUGAGGUAACGGCUCACCUAGGCUACGAUCGUUAGGGGGCCUGAGAGGGUUAUCCCCCACACUGGUACUGAGACACGGACCAGACUCCUACGGGAGGCAGCAGUGAGGAAUAUUGCGCAAUGGAGGCAACUCUGACGCAGCCAUGCCGCGUGCAGGAAGAAGGCGCUACGCGUCGUAAACUGCUUUUAUCAGGGAAGAAACCCCCAGACGUGUCUGGGGUUGACGGUACCUGAGGAAUAAGCACCGGCUAACUUCGUGCCAGCAGCCGAC
rnacentral:rRNA from 1 species